rnacentral:sRNA from 1 species
UAUUUAAAAGGGUUUAAAAAUAUUUACAAAAGAUUUUAAAAGGGUUUUAAAAGAUUUACAAGGGAUUUUAAAAAUGUUUU